rnacentral:rRNA from 1 species
GUGUCAGCAGCCGCGGUAAUACGUAGGGGGCGAGCGUUGUCCGGAUUCAUUGGGCGUAAAGCGCGCGUAGGCGGCCCCGCAAGUCGGCCGUGAAAUCUCCGGGCUCAACUCGGAGGGGUCGGGCGAGACUGCGGGGCUCGAGGUGGGCAGAGGGCAGUGGAAUUCCGGGUGUAGUGGUGGAAUGCGUAGAGAUCCGGAGGAACACCAGUGGCGAAGGCGGCUGCCUGGGCCUGGCCUGACGCUGAGGCGCGAAAGCGUGGGGAGCAAUCCGGAUUAGAAACCCCGGUAGUCC